CAUCGCACACACCCUCUGCCACACACCACUCGCCGGCACCGGGAUCCCACCGGCCGCAAUCGCAGUUCACGAGGCCGCCGCUUCGACUCCCGCCUACACCGGCUGCAGCUGAACCCGACGCAGCAGCGGUCACUGCGACACCCGCAGGCGGGACAGGAGGGCCACGCGGUAGCGCAACUGCAGUGCGAAAAACUGCUCCAUCUGGGCAGACUGGAGGGGGUCUUGUGAUCGGACACCCAGCUGACACACCUAGGUCACACCACGGCGAGUUUUGUUGUUCCCAAGGGUGACACCGAUGACGUAGCUGCCGGCGAUCCGCCCACGUUUUCGGCACGUGCAGCUCAG